rnacentral:rRNA from 1 species
GAUGAACGCUGGCGGCGCGCCUAACACAUGCAAGUCGAACGGCACCCGCCCUUGCGGCGGAAGCGAGUGGCGAACGGCUGAGUAACACGUGGAGAACCUGCCCCCUCCUCCGGGAUAGCCCAGGGAAACCUGGGGUAAUACCGGACGCCCCGCGCCCGGCGCAUGCCGGGGGCGGGAAGGCCCAGGCGGGAGGGGAUGGCUCCGCGGCCCAUCAGGUAGACGGCGGGGUGACGGCCCACCGUGCCGACAACGGGUAGCCGGGUUGAGAGACCGACCGGCCAGAUUGGGACUGAGACACGGCCCAGACUCCUACGGGAGGCAGCAGUGGGGAAUCUUGCGCAAUGGGGGCAGCCCUGACGCAGCGACGCCGCGUGCGGGACGAAGGCCUUCGGGUCGUAAACCGCUUUCAGCAGGGAUGAGAAGAGACGGUACCUGCAGAAGAAGCCCCGGCUAACUACGUGCCAGCAGCCGCCGUAAUAC